AGGACGAACGCUGGCGGCGUGCCUAACACACGCAAGUCGAACGGGGAUUUGCUUCGGCAGAAUCCUAGUGGCGAACGGGUGAGUAACGCGUAGGCAACCUGCCCUCCGGCCGGGGGACAACACUCCGAAAGGGGUGCUAAUACCGGAUACGAAGUCUGUGCCGCAUGGUACGGAUUUGAAAGAUGGCCUCUAUUUAUAAGCUAUCGCCGGGGGAUGGGCCUGCGUCCGAUUAGCUGGUUGGUGGGGUAACGGCCUACCAAGGCGACGAUCGGUAGCCGGUCUGAGAGGAUGAACGGCCACAUUGGGACUGAGACACGGCCCAGACUCCUACGGGAGGCAGCAGUGGGAAUCUUCCGCAAUGGGCGCAAGCCUGACGGAGCAACGCCGCGUGAGUGGAGGAAGUUCUUCGGAGACGUAAAGCUCUGUUGUUCCUGACGAACCCUCCCCUCUAUCAACAACGGAGGGGACUGACGGUAGGGAACGAGGAAGCCACGGCUAACUACGUGCCAGCCGCAGC
rnacentral:rRNA from 1 species